rnacentral:rRNA from 1 species
GCAGCCAUCAUUUAAAGAAAGCGUAAUAGCUCACUGGUCGAGUCGGCCUGCGCGGAAGAUGUAACGGGGCUAAACCAUGCACCGAAGCUGCGGCAGCGACGCUUAUGCGUUGUUGGGUAGGGGAGCGUUCUGUAAGCCUGCGAAGGUGUGCUGUGAGGCAUGCUGGAGGUAUCAGAAGUGCGAAUGCUGACAUAAGUAACGAUAAAG